rnacentral:rRNA from 1 species
UCGAUGGUAGGAUAGAGGCCUACCAUGGUGGUAACGGGUAACGGGGUGUUAGGGCACGACACCGGAGAGGGAGCCUGAGAAACGGCUACCACAUCCAAGGAUGGCAGCAGGCGCGCAAAUUACCCGAUCCCGACACGGGGAGGUAGUGACAAUAAAUAACAAUACGGGGUUCUUUCGGAUUUCGUAAUUGGAAUGAGUACAAUUUAAAUCUCUUAACGAGGAACAAUUGGAGGGCAAGUCUGGUGCCAGCAGCCGCGGUAAUUCCAGCUCCAAUAGCGUAUAUUAAAGUUGUUGCAGUUAAAAAGCUCGUAGUUGAAUUUCGGGGUCAGUAGAUUGGUCAUGCCACUGGUAUGUACUGGUCUUACUGGCUCCUCCUUCCUGAUGAACCGUAAUGCCAUUAAUUUGGUGUUGCGGGGAGACUGGACUGUUACUUUGAAAAAAUUAGAGUGUUUAAAGCAGGCUAACGCUUGAAUACAUUAGCAUGGAAUAAUGAAAUAGGACGUUCGAUCUUAUUUUGUUGGUUUCUAGGAUUGACGUAAUGAUUAAUAGGGAUAGUUGGGGGCAUUAGUAUUCAAUUGUCAGAGGUGAAAUUCUUGGAUUUAUUGAAGACUAACUACUGCGAAAGCAUUUGCCAAGGAUGUUUUCAUUAAUCAAGAACGAAAGUUAGGGGAUCGAAGACGAUCAGAUACCGUCGUAGUCUUAACCAUAAAACUAUGCCGACUAGGGAUCGGAUGAUGUUAAUUUUUUAAUGACUCAUUCGGCGCCUUACGGGAAACCAAAGUGUUUGGGUUC